AUUGAACGCUGGCGGCAGGCCUAACACAUGCAAGUCGAGCGGCAGCGGGAAAGUAGCUUGCUACUUUUGCCGGCGAGCGGCGGACGGGUGAGUAAUGCCUGGGAAAUUGCCCAGUCGAGGGGGAUAACAGUUGGAAACGACUGCUAAUACCGCAUACGCCCUACGGGGGAAAGCAGGGGACCUUCGGGCCUUGCGCGAUUGGAUAUGCCCAGGUGGGAUAAGCUAGUUGGUGAGGUAAUGGCGCACCAAGGCAACGAUCCCUAGCUGGUCUGAGAGGAUGAUCAGCGCCACCGGAACUGAGACACGGUCCAGCCUCCUACGGGAGUCAGCAGUGGGGAAUAUUGCACAAUGGGGGAAACCCUGAUGCAGCCAUGCCGCGUGUGUGAAGAAGGCCUUCGGGUUGUAAAGCACUUUCAGCGAGGAGGAAAGGUUGAUGCCUAAUACGUAUCAACUGUGACGUUACGCGCAGAAGAAGCACCGGCUAACUCCGUGCCAGCCGCCGCCGUAACAC
rnacentral:rRNA from 1 species